ACCCCGUUGGUGAGCCAGGGGCAUUUUAGUAAUUUUGACCCGAGAAGGGUAAAACUGUGAAUUUAAUUUAUUUAUGUGCUUAUGAACUAUAUUAUUAUAUAGUAUAUCUGGUGUGUCCUUUUUCAGGUGUGUUCUGACAAGUUGGCGCGGUAUAGUCACAACCGGGUAUUUCGGGCCGAACCGGGUUUCGGGCUGAAAUACAAUUUUGGGAUGUUUAAUUGGCAUUUUAUUUUUAUACAAGAAAUCUGAAAUUUAUUAUUUGAGUGUGUGAAAUGUGAUAAUUAUAUUUUUUUUUUACCCUUAUAUGCUUGAAAAUGGGAAUUUGGCCCUAAGGGCAAUGUGGUAAUUGUGUAUUUUGGGUUAUGAUUCAUUAAAAGGGAAAUAUUAAGCAAAAUGAGAUUUUAUUUCUGCAUUUUACUCCAACCCUAGCAGCCAGCCUCUCCCUCUCUCAAAAACUCAUUUUUUUAGCUUUGAUUUUGUGGUGAAUUGCUUGUGGAAGAAAGCUUAGUUUUGGAGAUUUAAAGAUUUGCUCUUGCUUGGAUUUGAGCUCGUUCCGAGCUCUCUCGGAAUAUCUGGAAUUUAAAUGCCCAGUUUUUAAUUUAUGGAAAUGGAUUUUGUGUAUCCGAGAAUUAUGACUAGGAUUACCGGCACUUGGUCAAGAGCACCCGGGGAUUUGGAAUCUCCAUAUUUGCGGGACAUCAGGAAAGGGUAAAUCUAUCUCUGAUCAACCAUGAGUAUGGGAGUUGGGUGAUGUAUGUACAUGUUCGUGUCACACUAGACCAAGCGGGUUGGGGUCUACCAGUGUUGAAACUUUUGUAACUCUAUUUUGCCGCUUAGGUCGGUUAAGGAGAAAAGACUUGUAAUAUUUUUUAAAAUGAUUUUCGGGAUCCCGAAAUAUGUAACUUUUGUUUGUAAGGUUAAAAUUAUUACAUGUUUAUUUUCAUUC